AGAACGCUCGCUUUGGCUGCGGGAGUGAGUGUGAGUGUGAGAGCAAGAACAGCCCGCAGGUCCCGAGGCGCUUGCAGGGGACUCUGCCGCGGAAAGUUCCCAGUCCCCAGCCGCAGAAGCUUUUUAUUUUUGGUUGAUUCCUGCUGUCUACUCCUCUUGGAUGCCUUUGUGAAACUGCUUCUAUCUGAGAAGGAGGAGUUGCCAUUUAGCAAGUAGUAGGUGGUACCGUGUGUGGCAGAGUCCGAUGUGUUACACCACGAGGACAUUCAUCUUUGCAAUUGGUGAAGUCCUUCUACCUAGUUCCCCUUCCUUGUGCACAGAAGAGGACUGGAAAACUCCUCACAGGACUGCAUACUGCUAUCUCUGAGAAACCAGAAAGAAGAAAGUACCUCUUCCUUCCAAGCUUCUACCUAAGAGUAUACUGGAAGGUUUACCUAGAGCAACAAGACAACGAAAUGGAUUGUCCUUCUCACGCUAGUCCACACACAAUCCUCAUCAUUUUGAUAAGAUAGCAUGAAGUCUCUUAUCGCUUGUGGAUCCAGCACUUUGGUUCAGGUUCAUCUGCCCAUAAUUCUCUAAGAUUUGGAGCUGUUGAGGAGUGGCUCAUAGUAGACACUGAACCAUCAGCCAACAGCAUUUGUUGUCCUGGAUGUCUGUGCCAACCUUUCGAGUCACACUGGGGUCUAAAGACACACCUGGAAUAAAAAUCAGAAUGCUUAAGAAACUUAAUAUGAUCUGCGGGAGAAUACAUGAGGUUUUUGUUUCAUACCACAGUCUGAUGACAGCAUGGAUUUCAACUGAUGAUGUUCACCUUUGCCUCUUGGAUGGUGAAGAUACAUAUAUGCACUGUGGUGGCUUGAGAAAGAAUGCUCCUCACAUUGACUUAUAUAUUUGAAUACUUGAUGCUCCAUUAGAACUCUUUGGGAAGGAUUAGGAGGUCAAUAUGUGAGCUCAGAGAUUUCCCUGCUUUUGUUCUGUCAUUAUGGAUUCUAAACUUCUGAAACUACAUACUCAAUUAAAUGUUUUCUUUUAUAAAUUAUA
rnacentral:lncRNA from 1 species